CGCUGCUCCCUAGCAAAGGCAUAGUCCAGAAGAGCCAACUCCCUCCACGACUUUUGGCCUUGGCUGGCCUUUUCGAAAAAGCAGAGAAGGAAUGACUUUCGGGACGAUCCCUGCAGGCGAGGUCAGCACCGAGAAAGGUGAGAGGACCCGGACUUCUCAGAGCUCAGUGCAGGGGGCUCUACUGCCGAUUUGAAGAGAAAGAGUUUAGCUUAAGGGUCUCUGGAGGUCUAUUGGUUAGAAUUUGGCACAUUCAUCCUGCGGCCUGGAUUUGAUUGCCUCCGGGUCAGGGAAAUCUUUAGGCAAUGCCUCUCUUCUAACUGGACCCUUCCUCUUUAUCCCCGUAGUGCUGGCGUGCUGUGAGGGCCAGGUGCAGAAGAGCCCCACACAGAGGGUCCCAAAACUCUGGUGAAGGAGGGGACAUAAUGGUGACUGUGUGAUAGGGUAGUUGUGGCCUACCAAGAGGAUUGGUCAGUUUUGCCUUAAAAGAGAGCCAAUUCCAGAGCAGAGAGGAGGAGCCCACCACCAAGGAAGCAGAGACCAACAGGAGAGACCCAGCAGCAGAGACCAGGCAGCAGGGGACUGCACAAUGGACUUCCCAGUCCAUGGAGAGAGAAAGUGGAGUGCCUUUGGGCAGAGACUAAGGGCCAGGGAGAGGUGGUGCCUGAGAGCACAGCUGGGGAGAGGCUAUCCUGAUGAAAGAACUAUAUCCUGAGUGUUCCUGAGCCUGAAUUACAACUAUUAUCUCCCUUAGAAUAAACUCCAUAAACAUGAGUUUGGUCUUUGAGUUCUGUGUAGCCAUCUCGAUGAAUUAUCAAACCCAGUAGAAAGUGCUGUGGGAGGGACAGUUGGUGUCAGAAUUGGUAAAGAUGGUGGAGAGAGGAGGCUUGUCUGGCCUCCACCACGUGGGAGCCAGCCUUAUGCUGUUGAAUUUCAUUCUCCUUUCCCCUUGUGAAGUUAGAGGAGGUCAGACAUCGUCCCUAUGCGUUUUUUACACGAGAAAGGAAAAGCUUAUGGAAGGGAAUUGCCAAGUUGUAUGUAAAAACUCAGCCCAACAAAAGACCAGACUUAAUGGUCUGCCUGAGACUAGAAGGACCCCGGUGGUCGUGGCCCCCAGACCUUCUGUUGGCCCAGGACAGGAACCAUUCCUGAAGCCAACUCUUCAGACAUGGAUUGGACUGGACAAUGGAUUGGAGAGGGAUGCCGGUGAGGAGUGAGCUUCUUGAAUCAGGUGGACACUUGAGACUAUGUUGGCAUCUCCUGCCUGAAGAGGAGAUGAGAGGGUGGAGGGGGUUAGGAGCUGGCGAAAUGGACAGGAAACAAGAAAGUGGAGGGAGACAGCGGGCUGUCUCAUUGCGGAGAGAGUAAUUGGGAGUGUGUAGCAAGGUAUAUAUGGGUUUUUAUGUGAGAGACUGACUGGAUUUGUAAACUUUCACUUAAAGCACAAUAAAAAUUAUUAAAAAAAAAAAAAAAACUCAGCCCAAA